rnacentral:rRNA from 1 species
UACGUAGGUGGCAAGCGUUGUCCGGAUUUACUGGGCGUAAAGAGCGCGCAGGCGGUCGUUUAAGUCGCGUGUGAAAGCCCCCGGCUCAACUGGGGAGGGUCACGCGAUACUGAUCGACUCGAAGGCAGGAGAGGGUAGUGGAAUUCCCGGUGUAGUGGUGAAAUGCGUAGAUAUCGGGAGGAACACCAGUGGCGAAGGCGACUACCUGGCCUGUUUCUUGACGCUGAGGCGCGAAAGCUAGGGGAGCAAACGGG